rnacentral:sRNA from 1 species
AUUCAUUGUUUGCUGAGUACCACCAUGGGCUGGCAGAUAGGGUCCUUGGGCACAUGAGUGGGGCCGGCUGUCCCGGCCUCCUCCGCUCCAGCCUGUCUGCACACUGGCACCCUGAGGACACCCUCCCACGGUGCUGUCUGUCUGUGUCCCAGUGACCAACAUCAAUGACGGGCUGCUGAGGGGCAUCAGUAUGCUGAACAAGGCCCGAGAGGAGCACAGAAUCCCAGAGAGGAGCACCUCCAUUGUCAUCAUGCUGACUGAUGGGGAUGCCAAUGUUGGUGAGAGCAGACCCGAAAAAAUCCAAGAGAAUGUGCGGAAUGCCAUCGGGGGCAAGUUCCCCUUGUAUAACCUGGGCUUUGGCAACAAUCUGAAUUAUAACUUCCUGGAGAACAUGGCCCUGGAGAACCAUGGGUUUGCCCGGCGCAUUUAUGAGGACUCUGAUGCCGAUUUGCAGUUGCAGGGCUUCUAUGAGGAGGUGGCCAACCCACUGCUGACGGGUGUGGAGAUGGAGUACCCCGAGAACGCUAUCCUGGACCUCACCCA